rnacentral:rRNA from 1 species
UACGGGGGGGGCAAGCGUUGUUCGGAAUUACUGGGCGUAAAGGGCUCGUAGGCGGCCAACUAAGUCAGACGUGAAAUCCCUCGGCUUAACCGGGGAACUGCAUCUGAUACUGGAUGGCUUGAGUUCGGGAGAGGGAUGCGGAAUUCCAGGUGUAGCGGUGAAAUGCGUAGAUAUCUGGAGGAACACCGGUGGCGAAGGCGGGUCUCUGGGCAAUUCCUGACGCUGAGGCGCGAAAGCGUGGGGAGCAAACAGG